GAUGCAAACUUUGCUGAAACCUCGACAAUGGAAACGCUGCUGCUUUCCCAAAGCCUCCACACUCCAGAUCCUAAGGACGUGACAUAUGCAGGUCGAUCCAGGGUCCCCGUGGUCGUCGCUGUCAUCACCUUAUUAUCAGUUGUGGCUCUCGCUGGUUUUGCUGCAUUUUUCUCUCGCCACAUUUUUCAGAAGCUAAAAAAGCAUCCAGAGGAUGAGACACAAAAACAACCACUACAAGUCUAGCUGCUUUACUCAAAGUAAUAAUGGUCUUAAUGGAGCUGAGAGUGUUAGAGAUUUAUCUUUGCUGGAUCUUCGC